ACGUAGGGGGCGAGCGUUGUCCGGAAUUACUGGGCGUAAAGAGCACGUAGGCGGGAACCUAAGUCAGGUGUGAAAGACCGUGGCUCAACCACGGGGUGGCAUUUGAAACUGGGUUUCUUGAGGGCAGGAGAGGAAAGCAGAAUUCCUGGUGUAGCGGUGAAAUGCGUAGAAAUCAGGAGGAAUACCAGUGGCGAAGGCGGCUUUCUGGACUGACCCUGACGCUGAGGUGCGAAAGCGUGGGUAGCAAACAG
rnacentral:rRNA from 1 species